AAAGGACAUAGCACAGUGACAGAGCACAAGUGUUAUGUGUAGGAGCCCCAGAUUCAACUCCUGGUGUCUCCAAAGACAGCUGGGGAAAAACUCCUGUCCGAAACCCUUGGGAGCUGCUGCCAGUCAGUGUAGACCAGGUAUGGGGACCUGUGGCUGAGGAUUAUGGGAGCUGCAGUCCAACAUCUGGUGGGCCACAGGCUCCCUAUCCCUGGUGUAGACAAUAAAGGGAGAGAUGGACCAGUGGUCUCACUUGGUGUAGUACAGGAAGCUGCCCACUGAUGUUAGCAUUGCCUACACGGACUGGCAGUGGCUCCCUGGGGUUUCAAGCCGUCUUUCCAGCCUACCCAGAGAUGCCAGAGAUUGAACUUGUGAAAUUCUGCAUGCGAAGCAGGUGCUUUACCCCUGAGCUGCUGCCUUCUCUCUGUGUUUGGGUAGGAGAGCCGGGUCUGCGCAAAGAAGACCCAACCAAGACUCUGUGGUAGGAAAGAGGCCAACAAAAAAUCACAAAGACAAAGGUCAUUGUGACAAUCAAUAAGCGGUUAACACAGAAAGGGAAACAAAUCCUUUGGCAGGAUCAAUGCAUUCAGCGUGCAUCUCAUCAUAGCUCUCAAAUUCUUUUAACCUUUUCACUCUACAGCCUGGGGGUUGUCUGCGAUGGCAGAAAGUUGAUUCAGGGGUUAGAUCAGGGGUAGUCAACCUUUUUAUACCUACCGCCCACUAAUGCAUCUUUCUUCAUGGUAAAAUUUCCUUACCGCCCCCCAGUGCUCGAUGGAAGGAGGAUUCAGCUUGUGCCAUAGAACCCCCCUACCGCCCACUAGUGGGCGGCAGGGACGAGGUUGACAAUCCCUGGGUUAGAUAAAGAGAGAAGGAUGGAGGCUGUGGGGCAGGGGUGGGGUGGGGGAGGCACCAGUGGGUCCAGAGAAAAGCACCAAUCAUUUUGGAGGUCUUUAAGCAGAGGCUUGACAACCAUAUGUCAGGAGUGCUCUGAUGGUGUUUCCUGCUUGGCAGGGGGUUGGACUCGAUGGCCCUUGUGGUCUCUUCCAACUCUAUGAUUCUAUGAUUCUAUGAAAAGGAGCAGAGACUCUCCAGUAGAAAUUGCUUCUCUCCCAGCCAAAGGCCCCCUUAGCAAAGGCAUGGGAAUCUCUGGUGUAGAAAUGGCUUUUAAGGAAAGUAUACAGAUGGAUUUUUCCAAGUUAACGGAUGCCGGUGUUACGAGCCAAGCAGACAAGAUAGAACAACAAAGGAAAUGAAAGGUUUAAUUUGAGGACCAGGAUACUAUCUUUAAGGAGCAAAUGAACACUGGGGGCCCUUGAGCUGUUGAGGUGGAUUUUUUUAUUUUUAUUUUUUGGUACAUGAGGAACAUCUGCUGUGCGCCGUGAGACGAGCAUGCUAACUCUUUGCUGAAGGGAAUGUCAGGAUUUGUUGUGAUGUGUUGCAUUUACAGCUCUCUGUGUGUUUAUUUAGUGCAGGAGUGGCAAACCUUUGGCCACCCUCCAGAUGCAGCUGAACUACAACUCCCACAAACCUUUGCAAGCAUGGCCAGUGGCCAGGGAUGAUGGGAAAUGGGAGUCCAGGAAUUUCCAGAGGGCUAAAGGUUCUCCACACCUGAUUUACAAGUGUAAGAAAGCAAAUCAACAGGCUUCCUCUGUCUCUUGGUCUUUCUGGUUUAAGUUCUCUUGUCUGUUUGUUUAAUGCAUUUAUAUCCUGUCUUUCUCCCAAGCUGGGAUUCAAGGAGGCUAGUAAUAUUUAAAGACAACCUACGACUCACUAAAGCUGUGCUUCCAAUCUGGCACAUAUAUCAAAAUUAAAUUGGGGGAAGUGGCUGCAUAACUCUGCAGAAUAGUUAUUUGCAGCAAACAGAAAAAAAGCAACCUCUUGCCACAGCUCAUUUUCUGCCUUUCAUAAUUAAUACAUGACGGCACAACUCUGUAUCUUACUAUACCCAGUGGAAAUGCACAGUGACACAAUGCAUUUCUUUGCACACUCAUUGAUUCCUGUUUUCAAGGUCAAGCAUAUGGACUCAAGGGGAAAGCAGCAGCACUUCCUUGCAGGCAUAAUCAGGUGGGCUCCCAUCUCGAUCCUGAGUAGCACAGGAGACUUGUAAAAGUCCCAGUUUGAAGUCAUGGCCCAUUAAGGAGAGAGUGAAUGUUUUUAGUGAACAUAAAUGCCAAGUACCUUUGAGGAGUCAUUAGCAUUUGCUGCUCUUAGCAUCCAGUGAAUUAAGGUAUUGUGUUACAACCUGAACCUCAGCCCUGCUGCUGUCCUGUUAAAAAGCACGGAAUGGGAAAGGUGCUUUCUGCUAAAGGACUAGAUGUGCUACCGGGUUCAUCUCAAAGGUUAUGCCUGUGCUCCAAAGCCAUUUUAUGCCGCCAGGAAGAUUUUGGGCCUUGGGAGUUUAUUCCAUGCUCUUUUCACACUGCAUAGCAACCCUCUCUGGAAGUGGUGGACAUUUUCAAAAACAGUUUUUGACACAGAGCGAGCAAGGUGAAUUUUCCAGAAAACAUUUGAGUUUUAAAAAACAAUUAGACAAUGUUUUCUAAUGUGCCUUAUCUCUGAAAAUGUCUUCCAAUAAUCAAAGGCAGCAGAAGGGGAGCAUUUGAUUACAAAGAAGGGAAUAGAUAAAGCAUGCUUGAUGUGGUGCAAAUGUUAUAUUCAAGCAAAUUCCAAGCUGGAAAUGAUUUUUACUGAAAAAGACAGGACAAUGCAACAGUAUACACUUACAUUGUUUUCAAUUAUUAAAAGGGAUGGAGGGAACACCACGUUUCAGUUUCAGCACACCCGAAAAGCUGUGAGCUUGUACAUAAAGGUUAACUACAAAUUUGAAACUGACCAGUUUGACAAGUAUUGUAUCCAAUUAGUUACGUUAUGAGGAAGGGCCUUAGUUAGUUAUUAGUUUGCACAUCACUGAUAAAGCACCUGUUUUGCACAGAGAAGAUCCCAGGUUCAAUUCCUGACACCUUUAGGUAGAGCUGGAAGACAAUCCAGAGAACCACCACCAGUCAGUGUGGAGACAAUGCAGAUAUAGCUGGAUCACUGGCUGGACCUGGUUUAAGGCAUCUUCCUCGGGAGUAUUUGUAGCUCAGGGGUAGAAAAUGUGCUUUGCAUGCAAAAAACAAGAAGACCCAGGUUCAAUUCCUGGUAUCUCUAGGUAUGGCUGGGAAAAGACCCUGGCCUGGAAAACCGCUGCCACUCAAUGUGGUCAAAACCAAGUUGGAUGGAACAGCGUUUAAUAUUAUUUAUUUAUUUGUUUGUUUGUUUGUUUAACAUACAGCCCUUCACCUGAAGAUCUCAAGGCAGGUCACAACAAAAAAAUACAGAACAGAAACACAAAGCACAUAACAAUAUCAAAAACAAAAUUAAACGAUGAUUCCCUACUCCCACAUUUAAAAGGACAUAGUGUCAAGGAUGCUCCCCACCCAAAGGAACACACACCACUAAUAGCCAACUCUUUCUUGUCAAAAGAGGACAAUUAACAGUAGUUUCUACAGCUCCGAAUACCAAUGCACACCCAUUUAGCAUCUGGACAGCUGUUCCCAGGUCUGCACUCUAUGGAGCAGUUGCAGCAACAGGGGACCACUCCCCCCCCCCCAGUUUAUGUACCUCCCUCUGGAUGGAUGUGCGCAUGCAGCCAGAGACUGCACCUAUGGGAAAGCUGCCUCUGCUCUUACCUCUUCACUCCCCUCCUGGUUCUGGGAGACAGUGGUGCAAGAGAGGGUGGGAAAUCACCCAGCCCUUCACUCGCCUGGCCUGCCUCUUCCCACGACUCUGAAUUCAUUUUAUUAAACAAAAUACUUUUUUUUUUUUUUAAAGGAAAAAUUCUCACCAGAGAAGAAUACAGUGGUAGAAAGCUUUCUGCAGAAAACACCCCAUGCCACACCACCAUCAGCAGCUGCUGUAUUAAACCCCUCCCAGGUGGACUGAGCCUUCUCAUCCUACAACCACCCAACAGUACUAGACGAGAGUUGCUGGAGUAACUUCAGAAUGCAGGACAGCCUUGUGACCCAAACAGAAAUAUUUUACAGACCACGCUGAUGCUAUCUCAAAGCAACUGCAAGAAUUGGUUUCAGGCUGCAAUCAGAUACUUUGAUGGAACGUGCCCUGCAAAAGCCUGUGAAAUCUGCCACCCCACAG